GGGGAACCGCACGCGGCCGGGCCGGGCGGACGACGGAGUGCGGAGGGGGGCGGCUGGCGGGAGGGUGCGCCAUGAAAACAAGGGCUGGAAAAGCGCCGGGAACCGCCUGGACCCUUUCUGGCCGUGUGAGUGUGUGUGGAGUGUGUGUGUGUGUGUGUGUGUGUGUGUGUGUCUCGCCUGGACCUUUUCUAGCCGUGUAUGUGGGAGUGUGUGUGUCGCCUGGACCCUUUCUAGCCGUGUAUGAGAGUGUGUACACGCGCCUACACACACACACGUUGUGUUACCGGCGCUCGGCCGCCGGGGGAAGACCCAGGCCAAUGCCGCCCCCCACCGCCCCCAGCAGUGGGACCUCAGCGCUGCCCUGCUGUGAAGACAGAGCCUCACUCUAUGGAUUUUCCCAGACUGAUUCCUUAUGUGGCAUCUUGGCUAUAAUCAGUCUUGAGACAGGCCACCAAACAAAAAGCUUUUGAUUGCCAGUUUUCGCCACCUGCUGGUUGUUUCACAGCGUUACUCUCUUCAUCCAUCCAAGAAAGUUCUUUCAUCCAUCAUCAAUAUAAAUAUUCUCCAAGUUUAUGAAAUUCAAAAGAUGCCUACUGCUCUCGUUGGACUGAAACUGCAGUGAUAGAACCAAACAAGCUGCACAACGCAACUCGAUAUAAUCUGCAAACUUUGGCUCUGUAAGACUGAAAGAUU
rnacentral:lncRNA from 10 species